rnacentral:rRNA from 1 species
CCUACGGGAGGCAGCAGUGAGGAAUAUUGGUCAAUGGGCGUAAGCCUGAACCAGCCAAGUCGCGUGAGGGAUGAAGGUUCUAUGGAUCGUAAACCUCUUUUAUAAGGGAAUAAAGUGCGGGACGUGUCCCGUUUUGUAUGUACCUUAUGAAUAAGGAUCGGCUAAAUCCGUGCCAGCAGCCGCGUUAAUACGGAGGAUCCGAUCGUUAUCCGGAUUUAUUUGGUUUAAAGGGUGCGUAGGCGGCUUGUUAAGUCGGCGGGGAAAGUUGGUGGCUCAACCAUAGACUUGCAGUGGAAACUGGGAGGCUUGAGUCUGUUGGAGGCAGGCGGAAUGCGUGGUGUAGCGGUGAAAUGCUUAGAUAUAACGCAGAACCCCGAUUGCGAAGGCAGCCUGCCAGGCCAUGACUGACGCUGAUGCACGAAAGCGUGGGGAUCAAACAGGAUUAGAUACCCCAGUAGUC